GAUGAACGCUAGCGGCAGGCCUAAUACAUGCAAGUCGAACGAUACCAGAGAGCUUGCUUUCAUGAGAGUGGCGCACGGGUGCGUAACACGUAUGUAACCUACCUUAAUCAGGGGGAUAGCCUCUCGAAAGAGAGAUUAACACAGCAUAACAUCAUACAAUAGCAUUAUUUUAUGAUCAAAUAUUUAUAGGAUUAAGUUGGGCAUGCGGGACAUUAGCUAGUUGGCGGGGUAACGGCCCACCAAGGCGACGAUGUCUAGGGGAUCUGAGAGGAUGGCCCCCCACACUGGUACUGAGACACGGACCAGACUCCUACGGGAGGCAGCAGUAAGGAAUAUUGGUCAAUGGGCGCAAGCCUGAACCAGCCAUGCCGCGUGCAGGAAGACGGCCCUACGGGUUGUAAACUGCUUUUGUACCGGAAUAAACCUCUUUUCGUGAAAGGAGCUGAAUGUACGGUAAGAAUAAGGAUCGGCUAACUCCGUGCCAGCCGCCGCCGUAA
rnacentral:rRNA from 1 species